CGUUAGCGGCGGACGGGUGAGUAACACGUGGGUAACCUACCUAUAAGACUGGGAUAACUCCGGGAAACCGGGGCUAAUGCCGGAUAACACAUGAAACCGCAUGGUUUCAUGAUGAAAGACGGUUUUGCUGUCACUUAUAGAUGGACCCGCGGCGUAUUAGCUAGUUGGUAAGGUAACGGCUUACCAAGGCAACGAUACGUAGCCGACCUGAGAGGGUGAUCGGCCACACUGGAACUGAGACACGGUCCAGACUCCUACGGGAGGCAGCAGCU
rnacentral:rRNA from 1 species